UCCCUGGUGGUUCAGUGGGUUAAGGAUGUGGCAUUGUCACUGCUGUGGCACGCGUUCGAUUCCUGGCCUGGGAA
rnacentral:tRNA from 1 species